AAUCAACGCUGGCGGCGUGCCUCAGACAUGCAAGUCGAACGCGAAAGGCCCCUUCGGGGGCUGAGUAGAGUGGCGCACGGGUGAGUAACACGUAGGUAAUUUGCCUUCGGGUGGGGAAGUAACUCAGGGAAACUUGAGCUAAUACCGCAUAAUGCAGCGGCUCGACAUCGAGACAGUUGUUAAAGCGGGGGAUCGUAAGACCUCGCGCCUGAAGAGAAGCCUGCGGCAGAUUAGCUAGUUGGUAGGGUAAUGGCCUACCAAGGCGACGAUCUGUAACCGGCCUGAGAGGGCGGUCGGUCACACUGACACUGACAUACGGUCAGACUCCUACGGGAGGCAGCAGUCGGGAAUUUUGGGUCAAUGGGCGAAAGCCUGACCCAGCAACGCCGCGUGAAGGAUGAAAUCCCUCGGGAUAGU
rnacentral:rRNA from 1 species